UACGUAGGGUGCAAGCGUUAAUCGGAAUUACUGGGCGUAAAGCGUGCGCAGGCGGUUUUGUAAGACCGAUGUGAAAUCCCCGGGCUUAACCUGGGAACUGCAUUGGUGACUGCAAGGCUUGAGUGUGUCAGAGGGAGGUGGAAUUGCCGCGUGUAGCAGUGAAAUGCGUAGAGAUGUGGAGGAACACCGAUGGCGAAGGCAGCCCCCUGGUCAACACUGACGCUCAUGCACGAAAGCGUGGGGAGCAAACAGGA
rnacentral:rRNA from 1 species